UUUAUGAAAUGAAAUGUCAGCCUUUGGAUGAACUUGUAAAAAUUGAGAUACAAUCUGAACCGCUAUUGUGCUCUAAAUUCAAAAUUAGGUCCUGAAUUAGGUCCUGUUUUAUUAAUACUUAUAUAGCAUUAUUUUCUAAAUACUCCUAAAUAGCAUUAUUUUCUUAAAACCUCCGUGUUUUUCCUUUCUCUCUUCUCACUCGGUCAUAGAACGACUUCCUCUCGCCAGAAAACCCCUUGCCGCAAAAUCGAAGCUGGUAAAAUGGAUUCCCUUGAAAUCGAUAGCUGCAAAAUCGAAGAGAGAGAAAGCGAAGCCCUUCAUCCCCUCCAGAAACGCAGCAGCUGCAAGAGAGAAAGCCAAGCCCUAGAAAUCUCAGUUCAAGGGUUGUGUGUUUCGACUGAGGGAACGAGUUCCUUCUCCAUCUUUCGAUUCCAUUCUUCAAGGGUUGUGUGUUUUGCUUGGUUUUUUUUUUCCUUUUAUACUCUGCACUAGUUUCCUUUCAAGUAAAAAUUUAUGCAUUACAUGUAAAAAUGUAGGAUGUGUAAUACUUCUUCGGUUUUCGGCUAAUUGAGACUGGUUCAUCAAUCUUUCUGCUGCAGAUUACCCACUUGUCACUCAAGAUGAUAUUUUUCUCAAAAGCAUUAUGUGUGUUUUUUGAUUUAUUUUUGAAAAUUUUGGUAGUUAUUUUUCGUAAAGGUAGUAGAUUUUUAUGAUUCUCGAUUGUUCAUUUAAGUAGUGAUGUGGGUAUUUCAUGUUUUGAUUAUUGGAAAUUUUGGUACAAAUUUUGUUGAUUCUUGAUUGUGCACUCAUUUGACAUGUGGAUUAUUGUGACAUUAUGUGUGGUUUAGGUCUAUUGUUAGUUUUGUUUAUUUUUUAUUAUGAAUUUAUCUUCGUGUGGGUAUUUAUGGCAGGUUUCUAUACAAAUUUCAGUUAGUUUCUUUAUUGCCCAUUAACUAACUGAUUUGAGUUUGUUGGGUUUCAGAUCUCACAUUUUGUCAUAUAUGCCUAAAGAUAUGAAUUUUGUGAUCACACGAGCUACAUUGGCUGAAGAGAGUAUGAACAAAAAUACUUUUCCUUUUAUAUAUUGUUUUGUUAUAGGAUAAAAGUGGUGGGGUUAUACUGUUUGGAGUUUAAUUAUGAUUUUCGUGGUGUUGCAGAUCUCGGAGGUAGAAAUGUUAUGAAUUGAUUGUAAUGAAGCUCUGUUGUACUCUGGGCUUUAGUGAGGAGUGUUGUACCUCCCCAUGUACCUGAACCUGUAGACUUUUUGCAGUAUGCUUGUUAAGAUUCAACCCAACCGGAUAAGAAGACAGAUAUUGGAACUGAUAAAGACGGAUAUUCUUCUUAUGUUGAAUUGAUUAUGAAUUAUGCUUGCAUCUUCCGGACAGAAUCAUGUUGUACAAAGGAGGAAAAACUGCAAUUUUACUACAUUUGUUCUGUGUAUUGGAUAUACAAGGAAUUGUGUAGACUUGGUAAAUCUCUUUUCUUUUCCUCUUGACAGAUGCAAGAUGGAUUUUAACAGGGUAGAAUAAACAAGUUGAUAUUUUGGUUUUUGUUAGGAUGUGUGAAUCCCUAUUUUAAAUGUAAUGAACUGAUUGUAAUGUAACUCUGUUGUACUCUAUUUUUUGAACUUAGUUUGGACCCAAGCCUGAAUUGAUUGUUUGAAGCUCUGUUGCAAUUGAAACAUUAAGAAGAUAUAUUGUGGUUACUUUUCCUUUAUUAGUUUUGAUGGCAACUUAUUUGAUUCCUUGUCAUCUGAACUCAGCUUCCUUAUCAUCUGGAAAGCCAAGAUGAACCAAGUGAACACAACCAUUAAGGUAUCUACUUCCCAAAAGAAGGAUGGUUU
rnacentral:lncRNA from 1 species